rnacentral:rRNA from 1 species
AGCAGUCGCCACGGUAAAACAGAGGGUGCGAGCGUUAAUCGGAUUUACUGGGCGUAAAGCGUGCGUAGGCGGCUAAUUGAGUCGGAUGUGAAAUCCCCGAGCUUAACUUGGGAAUUGCAUUCGAUACUGGUUAGCUAGAGUGUGGGAGAGGAUGGUAGAAUUCCAGGUGUAGCGGUGAAAUGCGUAGAGAUCUGGAGGAAUACCAAUGGCGAAGGCAGCCAUCUGGCCUAACACUGACGCUGAGGUACGAAAGCAUGGGGAGCAAACAGGAUUAGAUACCCGCGUAGUCCCUGUCUCUUAUAC